rnacentral:lncRNA from 1 species
UUCUAUAGUUUUUUAUUUAUAUAGUAUAUUUGUUUUUGUAGUUUAGCAGCAAACUAUGAGGGGGGGUGCAAUAUGUUUCACUUUUAUACCAAUUAAAAAUUUCUGAUGACCAAUAAUUAAAUGCACUCUACUCCAAAUAUAUGUAAGCAAUAAUAAGAUCGAGAGAGAAGGAGCAAACGAUUUAUAGUGGUUCCGGCGAAUCCUUGCCUACGUCCACUCUCCCAUUCCUCCUUGGUUAUUACUAUCAACAAUAAGCUUUCGGGUUCUAUCAACCUUUCAAAAACCACUAGAAGUGCUUCUGUCUUCAAGAAUCCUCUUUUUGGGAAUUCCACCAUAGAAAAAUUCUAGCCUUCAAGAGCAACCGCUCUUGGAAUACAAUAUAUCACCCAAGGGGCUCUCUCUUCAAUAACUUAAGUAAAUGUCUAGAAUAAGCAAUCAUACCCUCACCACCUCUAGAAGAAAAUAAAAAUACGAAUGAUAGCUCCUCUCUAGAGUGAUUUUCUCGUUUGAUCUUUUGGAUCUUUUAAAAUAAAGCUCACAAUGAAUGUGCAAGAGUUAAGUGUUUUUCACAAUGUAAUGAUGCAUUUAUGGACUUCAAUCUCUUCUUAACAACCCCAAGGGGUGCAUUUUAUAAGCCCAAGAGUUAUAACAGUUGCAAAGCAUUAAAUGCUCUCCAACUACCCAAAAACUAACCCCCGGUUCCGUUUUUGAAACCAGCCGUUGGAUAUCGCUGGCAAUUUGACGCGCAGGAUUAAAACUGAACUUAGGACGUCAACUUAGGGUCGUCCUAAUUUAAACUUAGGUCGGCCGAUUUUGAACUUAGGACGUCCUAAUACUUCUUAGGUCUUCAUUUUGAACUUAGGACGUCCUAACUUUCUUAGGUCGUCCCCAAAUCCUUUGAACACCUUCUGUUAAAGUUAAGUCUUCAGCUCUUGAAACUUAGGUCCGUCAAGUUGAACUUAGGGUCGUCCUACUUUUGAAACUUAGGACGUCCUAACUUUUUUAGGUCGUCCAGCCACUUUCUGUCCAACUUAGAUGUCAACUUAGUACCUCCUAACUUUUAUGUCGUCAUCCAAACUUUCUGUCCAAACUAGGAUGGUCACUUAGGACCUCCUAACUUGAACUUAGGCGUCAUCCAAACCUGUCUGUCCAAAUUCGGAGGUCCAUUCAAACUUAGAUGUCAGCUGCACACUUAGAUGUUCAACUUUUCGGACGUCCUAACUUGUGAUAUUUGCUGCACUUUUGGGACAUUUCCUGUUCUUUCUACCAAACACAAUCGUUAAUCAUAAUCAAUUGAAUGGAGACUUUUGUUUUGAAUCCUCUAUAAGUUCUAUGAGCAUUGACCAUUCGUUUUGCUGUGAACACUUAUGGAUUAAUAUGUAACCACGAGUUUCGAACGAUUGUUUUAGUUGACAAAGUAUGUCCUGCCAUCUUGACUGUGCUAAAUCCUCUUUAAAAUUAUUUUCAAAGUAUAUUUAAACAUUUUAAUAUAUAUAAGUUUUAAUCAUCAAAAUCAUUAAAGAUUUAUGCUACAAUUUUUUCUAUUUCUAUUUUCUACUUCUAUUCUUAUUUCUAUUUCUGUUUCCAUUUGUUUCUCUUCUUACUUUUAUUUUGUUAUUUCAAUUAGGUUUUAGUUUUUUUUAUGUUUUCAAUUUUAUAUUCUCUUUUCAGUUUUUAUUUCUAUUUCUAUUUUUAUUCUUUUUUUAUAUUUUUAUUCUAUUUUUGAUUUAUGUUUUAUUUCUUUUUUUUAAUUUAUAUUAUUAAUUUUUAGUUUUAGUUUUGUUUUUAGUUUUUAUUUUCUUAAUUUUUGGUCCUAUCUAUUUUAAUUUUUUAUUUUCUGUUUCUAUUCCUGUUUCUAUUUCUAUUUCUAUUUUUGAUUUUGAUUUUUAUAUUUUAUUUUAUGUUUCUAUUUAAGUUUUCAUAUUUUUUAUGUUCUCAGUUUUUAUUUUUUAUUCUAUUUUCUUUUUUUCUUUAAGACUAUUUUAUGUAUUUUUUUUGAUUAUAUUUUUAGUUUAUAUUUUUUUAUUUUGUUGUAUAUUCUCAUGGAUCUAUUUUAUUCUCUUUUAUUUAUAUCUCUAUGUCUUUUUUUGUUUUCAUUGAUUGUUUAUGUUCUCAAUUUUUAUUUCUUUUUAUGUUUUCAUUGUCUUCUAUGUUCUCAAUAUUUAUUUUUAUUUCUACUUUUAUUUUAUUUCUAUUUUCAUUUCUACGUAUUGUUUUCCAUUUCAAAUUUUAUUUUGUAUUUUAUAUUUUUAAUUUCUAUUUCUAUUUAUGUUUUAAAUUUUAUAUUCUCUUUUCAGUUUCUAUUUCUAUUUUUUGAUUUUUUAGUUUCGGUUUUUAUUUCUAUUUCUAUUUUUAGUUUUUAUUUUAGUUAUUUAUUUCUAUUUUUAUGCUAUUUUUGUUUUAUGUUUUAUUUUCUUUUUACAAUUUAUAUUAUAUUUUCUUAUUUCUCUUUUUUUUUUAGUUUUUAUUUUCUUAAAUUUUGAUUCUAUCUAUUUCUAUUUUUUAUUUUCUGUUUUUAUUUCUAUUUUCGGUUUCUAUUCUAUUUUUGAUGUAUGUUUUUGACAAUUUUAUGUAUUUUUUAUUGUUUCUUUUUCUCUUUUUGUUUUAUUUCUAUUUUUUAUUCUAUUUCUGUUUUCUAAUUAUAUUUUUAGUUUAUAUUUUUAUUUUCAGUGUUUUUUAUAUUCUCAAAUUUUACUUUUUUAUAUACCCUUUUUUUAUUUUUUAUUUAUUUUUAUAUCUUUUUAUGUUUUCAUUGUUUUUUACAUUCUCAAUUUUUAUUUUUUAUUUUUUAUUUUUUAAUAUAUUUAUUUUGUUUUUAUUUUGAUUUUAUUCCUAUUGUUUAUUUAUAUAUUUAGUUUCUAUUUUUAUUUUCAGUGUUCUUCUGUUUUUAGUUUUUAUUUUUUAUUUCUAUAUCUAUUUUUUAUUUUCUGCUACUAUUCAUAUUUCUUUUUUUAUUUUAUGUUUCUAUUUCUGUUUUUAUUUUUAUUUUUUAUUUGUUUUUAAUGUUUUCAUUGUUUUUUAUAUUCUCAAAUUUUAUGUUUUAUAUUUUGUUUUUAUUUUUAUUUUUAAAUUCAAUUUCUAUAUCUAUUUUUAGUUUUUCUUUCUGUUUCUAGUUUUUAAUUUUAAUUUUAAUAUUAAUAUUUUUUAUGUUUUUAUUUUUAUUUAUUUUAUUAUUGUUUUUCUGUUUUUAAUUUUAUAUUCUCUUUUUAGUUUUUAUUUCUAUUUCUAUUUCUAUUUUUAGAUUUAGUUUUCAUUUUAAUUAUCUAUUUUAUUCUUAUUUUGUAUUUAUAUUCUAUUUUUGUUUUCUGAUUCUAUUCCUAUUUCUUUUUUAUUUUCUUUUUUUAGUAUAUUAUUUUUUAUUUUUUGAUUCUAUUUUCGUUUUUAAUAUUUAUUAUAUGUUUCUAUUUAUGUCUUCAGUAUUUUUUAUGUUCUUAUUUUUUAUUUUUAUUUUUAUUUUUGUUUUGUGUUUUUUUUUGUUUUUUUAUUUCUGUUUUUGGUUUAUAUUUUAAUUUUUUUAAUUAUUUAUGUUCUCAGUUUUUAUUCUAUUUUCUUUUUUCAGUUUUUCUAUUUCUUUUUUUUUUAUUCAUAGAUUUAUUUUUAAAAUCAAUAUAGUAUGUUAGUAUAAGUUUUCUCUUCACAUUUCACGUUAUCUUUAGGUUGAUAUUUUGUUCCUUUAGAUUUCUAUAUGCCUUGAAGUUCAAUUAAAGAUAUGAACACACAAAAGCCCUAGUGGAAGAGCUGCUGAUUGUGAACUGACUUCUACUUGGGGAACUUCAAUCCAAUAAGCAGUGGAUGAUAGUUCUUUCCACUAUACUUGCGUUGCUAUGGUCGUUGACACUUGCAUUGCUAUGUUAUAUAUUUUACUUUGUACUCUAUUUUUUGUUUUCUUUUUAUAGUUUCUAUUUCUAUUUUUAUUUUUUGUUUUUGUUUUUAUUUUAUGUUUCUAUUUUAGUUUUAAGAUUUUGUUUGUAUUUUAUGUUUAUAUUCCUAUCUCUAUUUUUCGUUUCUAUUUUUGUUUUAUGUUUUUUUUAUAGUUUUGAAUUUUUGUUUUCAUUUUUAUUUAUGUUUUUAUUUUAUUUUCUGAUUCUUUUUUUAUUUUUAGUUUUACAUCUCUAUUUUUUGUUUAUGUUUUUAUUUUUAUUUUGUGAUUCUACUUCGAUUUUUAUUUUUUAUUUUUUAUUUUUGGUUUAUUUUUAUUUUUUGUCUAUAGUUUUUAUUUUUAUUUUUUAUUUUCUGUUUUUUGUUCUCAGUUUGUAUUUUUAUCUUUUUUCAAUUUUAUUUGUGUUGUCAGUUUUUUUUUAUGUUCUUUUUUUUUUUGUGUGUGUGUUUUUAGUUUAUAUUUAUAUUUUAAUUUUUGUUUUAUGUUUCUAGUUCUUUUUCUAUUUCUAACUUUUUUUCCUAUCUCUAUUUUUGUUUUAUGUUUUUAUUUAUAUUUGUUUACAGUUUAUAUUUAUGUUUUCAAUUUUUUUAUGUUCUCUAUUUUUUUUUCCUAUUUUUGUUGCUAUUUUUUAUUUUUGGUUUUGUUUUUUAUUUAUAUUUUUAGAUUUUUUUCUUUUCUUUCAUUUUUUCUUUUAUAUAUUUUUUUAAUUUUUACUCUUUAUUUUUAUUUUUGCCUUCAUUUUUUUUUGUUUUUUAUAUUUUUGUUUUCUGUUUUUAUAUUUUUUUCCUUCGAUUUUUUAUUUUUAUUUUUAUUUUCUGUUUAUAUUUAUGUUUUCUGUUUUUUUUACUAUUUUUGUUUUUAGUUUUUAGUUUUGGUUUCUAUUUCUACUUUUAGUUUCUUUUUCUAUUUUUAUUUUUAUUUUUAUUUCCUAUUAUCUGAUUCUGUUUUCAUUUUUAAUUUUAUUUCUAAUUUUUGUUUUUCUGUUUUUGUCUUUAUUUUUUUAUUUUUUUUUCUAAUUCUAUUUUUAUUUUAUUUUUUUCAGAUUUUAAAUUCUUUUCGCUACUAUUUCUAUUCUAUUUCUAUUCUAUUUUUUUCAGAUUUUUUUUCUAAUUCUAUUUUU